rnacentral:rRNA from 1 species
CAGCAUCCUAGCCGAAGCGCGGACCUCAGUCCCGGCUGGCCGUAUUACACCCUGGGCUAUAACACCUCCACCGAAGUGGAGGCCACAUUCCCAGAGCCUUUAUCCGGCCGCCGAAACUGAUGCUGGCCUGUCCAAACUGAGUAAACCGGUCAGAAGACCGGCCGAACAGUUUAAACAAGUCUGAUUGCAAGCGCUUCCCUUUCAACAAUUUCACGUGCUUUUUAACUCUCUUUCCAAAGUGCUUUUCAUCUUUCGAUCACUCUACUUGUGCGCUAUCGGUCUCUCGCCAAUAUUUAGCUUUAGAAGAAAUUUACCUCCCAUUUAGAGCUGCAUUCCCAAACAACUCGACUCGUCGAAGGAGAUUUACAUAGGGUGCCAUUUCCUGUCACAUACGGGAUUCUCACCCUCUAUGACGUCCUGUUCCAAGGAACUUAGACAGGCGGCUUCCCCAAAUCAUCCUCUACAAAUUACAAUGCGAACCCGAAGGCUAGCUUUCAAAUUUGAGCUGUUGCCGCUUCACUCGCCGUUACUAGGGCAAUCCC